GACGAACGCUGGCGGCGUGCUUAACACAUGCAGGUCGAACGGAGAGGCACUGCCUUUGUGGUGUGCUCGAGUGGCGAACGGGUGAGUAACACGUGGGUAACCUGCCCUUGACUUUGGGAUAACUUCAGGAAACUGUGGCUAAUACCGGAUAGGAGCUCCUGCUGCAUGGUGGGGGUUGGAAAGUUUCGGCGGUUGGGGUUGGACGUGGGGCUUAUCAGCUUGUUGGUGGGGGAGUGGCUUACCAAGGCUUGGACGGUUAGCCGGCCUGGGAGGGUGACCGGACCCAGUGGGCCUGAGAUAGGGCCCGGACGGCAACUUGGGGCAGCGGUGGAGAAUAUUGCAAAAUGGGCGGAAGCCUGAUGCAGCAACGCCGCGUGCGGGAUGACGGCUUUCGGGUUGGAACGCGCUUGCGCCUGGGACGAAGCGUGAGUGACGGUAACUGACAAAGAAGCACCGGCUAACUACGUG
rnacentral:rRNA from 1 species